rnacentral:rRNA from 1 species
UACGGAGGGUGCGAGCGUUGUCCGGAAUCACUGGCGUAAAGGGCGCGUAGGUGGCUAUGUAAGUCACUUGUGAAAUCCCGGGGCUCAACUCCGGGGCCGCAGGUGAGACUGUGUGGCUAGAGCGUGGUAGAGGCGAGUGGAAUUCCCGGUGUAGCGGUGGAAUGCGUAGAUAUCGGGAAGAACACCGGUGGCGAAGGCGGCUCGCUGGACCUUUUCUGACGCUGAGGCGCGAAAGCUAGGGGAGCAAACGGG